rnacentral:rRNA from 1 species
ACGGAAGGCAGCAGUGGGGGAUAUUGCACAAUGGGGGAAACCCUGAUGCAGCGACGCCGCGUGAGGGAAGACGGUUUUCGGAUUGUAAACCUCUGUCUUCGGGGACGAUAAUGACGGUACCCGAGGAGGAAGCCACGGCUAACUACGUGCCAGCAGCCGCGGUAAUACGUAGGUGGCAAGCGUUGUCCGGAAUUACUGGGUGUAAAGGGAGCGUAGGCGGGAUAUCAAGUAAAAUGUUAAAGCUAUCGGCUUAACCGGUAAGUGCGUUUUAAACUGAUAUUCUUGAGUGAAGUAGAGGCAGGCGGAAUUCCUAGUGUAGCAGUGAAAUGCGUAGAUAUUAGGAGGAACACCAGUGGCGAAGGCGGCCUGCUGGGCUUUUACUGACGCUGAGGCUCGAAAGCAUGGGGAGCAAACAGGAUUAGAUACCCUGGUA